AACGAACGCUGGCGGCAUGCCUAACACAUGCAAGUCGGACGAGACCUUCGGGUCUAGUGGCGCACGGGUGCGUAACGCGUGGGAACCUGCCCUUAGGUUCGGAAUAACUCCCCGAGAGGGGUGCUAAUACCGGAUAAUGUCUUCGGACCAAAGAUUUAUCGCCUUUGGAUGGGCCCGCGUUGGAUUAGCUAGUUGGUAGGGUAAAAGCCUACCAAGGCGACGAUCCAUAGCUGGUCUGAGAGGAUGAUCAGCCACACUGGGACUGAGACACGGCCCAGACUCCUACGGGAGGCAGCAGUGGGGAAUAUUGGACAAUGGGCGAAAGCCUGAUCCAGCAAUGCCGCGUGAGUGAUGAAGGCCUUAGGGUUGUAAAGCUCUUUUACCCGGGAUGAUAAUGACAGUACCGGGAGAAUAAGCUCCGGCUAACUCCGUG
rnacentral:rRNA from 1 species